AUGGCAGCCGCCGACAUCCGCCUCUCCGUCGCCCACCAGACGCGCUUUGCACUCCGCCUCGCCUCCGCCAUCUCCUCGCCCUCCAACGCCGACGGUGCCGCCGGCAACGCAGCCUUCUCCCCGCUCUCUCUCCACGUCGCGCUCAGCCUCGUCGCCGCCGGCGCGGGCGGUGCCACCCGCGAUCAGCUGGCCGCUACACUCGGUGCCGAAGGGCCCGGCGAGGCGGAGAGCCUCCACGCGCUCGCCCAGCAGGUGGUGCAGCUGGUGCUCGCCGACGCAUCGGUCGAGGGCGGUCCGCGCGUCGCGUUCGCUAACGGCGUCUUCGUCGACACGUCGACGCCGCUCAGGUCGUCCUUCAAGGAGGUCGCCGUUGGGAAGUACAAGGCCGAGACCCACUCCGUCGACUUCCAAACUAAGGCUGCUGAAGUUGCGUGUCAAGUGAACACAUGGGUAGAGAAACUCACAUCAGGUCUCAUCAAAGAGAUCCUACCGGAUGGAUCUGUCGACAGCACCACUAGACUUGUUCUUGGCAAUGCCCUUUAUUUCAAAGGAGCAUGGACAGAGGAGUUUGAUGCAUCCAAGACCAAAGACGGCGAGUUCCACCUUCUUGACGGGAGCUCAGUACAAGCAUCAUUCAUGUCUAGCACAAACGAGCAGUAUCUUUCGUCUCACGACAACUUGAAAGUACUCAAGCUUCCUUACCGGCAAGGCGGGGACAUGAGGCAAUUUUCCAUGUACAUACUUCUCCCAGAAGCAAAUGACGGUCUUUGGAACUUGGCCGGAAAGGUGAGCUCGGAACCAGAGUUCCUAGAGAAGCAUACCCCAACUGAGAAGGUCCUAGUCAGAAAUUUCAAGCUUCCCAAGUUCAAGAUUUCGUUUGGAUUCGAAGCUUCCAGUUUGCUCAAAGGUUUGGGACUGCAUCUCCCAUUUAGCUGUGAAGCCGAUCUUUCGGAGAUGGUGGAUUCAGCAGCGGAGCAGAAUUUGUACAUCUCCUCAGUUUUCCACAAGUCCUUUGUUGAAGUGAAUGAAGAAGGAACAGAGGCUGCAGCCGCAACGGCUGCAGUGGUUAUGCUAAUGUCACUGCCAUUAGACCCGCCAAUGGAGAUGGAUUUUGUCGCAGAUCACCCAUUCCUGUUCGUGAUCCGAGAAGAUUUGACUGGUGUGGUGUUGUUUGUUGGCCAUGUGGUCAAUCCUUUACUUGCAGCAUAG
rnacentral:rRNA from 1 species